rnacentral:rRNA from 1 species
CUAACGAGGAUUCCCCUAGUAACGGCGAGUGAAGCGGGAAGAGCUCAAAUUUGUAAUCUGGCGGUCUCUGGCCGUCCGAGUUGUAGUCUGGAGAAGCGUUAUCCGCGUCGGACCGUGUACAAGUCCCUUGGAACGGGGCGUCGUAGAGGGUGAGAAUCCCGUCUUUGACACGGACUGCCGAUGCUUUGUGAUGCGCUCUCGAAGAGUCGAGUUGUUUGGGAAUGCAGCUCAAAUCGGGUGGUAAAUUCCAUCUAAAGCUAAAUAUGGGCGAAAGACCGAUAGCGAACAAGUACCGUGAGGGAAAGAUGAAAAGCACUUUGGAAAGAGAGUUAAACAGUACGUGAAAUUGUUGAAAGGGAAACGUUUGAAGUCAGUCGCGUCUUCCGGGAUUCAGCCUCGCCUUUGCGCUUGGCGUACUUCCCGGGGUGAUGGGCCAGCAUCGAUUUCGACCGUCGGAGACAGGCUUUGGGAACGUGGCACCUUCGGGUGUGUUAUAGCCCUUUGUCGUAUGCGACGGUUGGGAUCGAGGAUCGCAGCACGCGCCUUUAUCGGCUCGGGGUUCGCCCACGUUUAACGUGCUUAGGAUGCUGGCGUAAUGGCUUUAAGCGACCCGUCUU